AACGCAAUUUGCGGUCUAGUUUCUAGACCAUGCCUGUUUGUGUGUCAGCAAUGUACACUAUAAAAUAAAUUAUUUUAAUUUUCAUUAGUUGAAAUAUUUUUAUUUUAUCUCAAUUGAGGUGUUACUUAUUUUACAUGUAGGUAUCCCUUUAAAUAUAGUCAUGUUUUAUUAAAGGAAAAAUUAUAAAUGAAUUCUGAUCAAGUACAACUAAUUUCUAAUUGGCAAUAAAAGCGGUGGAUUUUUCAUUAUUUUCUAAAAACGCUCAUGAACCUUUAUAUUUUCAAUAUGUUAAAAAGUAUUGUAACCUUGACCACAAAUCAAGCAAGACUACCCGCUGAACUUAA
rnacentral:misc_RNA from 1 species